rnacentral:rRNA from 1 species
GAGGGCUUAACUGUCUCCUGCAGCCAAUCAAUGAAAUUGACCUUACAGUACAAAUGCUGUCAUAUACCUAUAAGACGAGAAGACCCUGUGGAGCUUUAAACUCAUACAUUAACCAAGCAUAAAUUGUAUAAUGUAAAUUUUAAGUUGGGGCGACUAUGGAGUAAAAAUAAACCUCCACAUAAACGACUAAACCUCGUAACACUAGGCCAACAAGCUUAAUUAAAAUAUCUUGACCCAGUCAAACUGAAUAUUGAACCAAGUUACCCCAGGGAUAACAGCGCCAUCCCCCUAAAGAGUCCACAUCGC